UGGGGAAUUUUGCACAAUGGGGGAAACCCUGAUGCAGCGACGCCGCGUGAUUUAGAAGGCCUUCGGGUUGUAAAAAUCUUUUCUAUGGGAAGAAAAUGACAGUACCAUAGGAAUAAGGACCGGCUAAUUACGUGCCAGCAGCCGCGGUGAUACGUAAGGUCCGAGCGUUGUCCGGAAUCAUUGGGCGUAAAGGGUACGUAGGCGGGUAAGCAAGUUAGAAGUGAAAUCCUGUAGCUCAACUACAGUAAGCUUUUAAAACUGCUCAUCUUGAGAUAUGGAAGGGAAAGUGGAAUUCCUAGUGUAGCGGUGAAAUGCGCAGAUAUUAGGAGGAAUACCGGUGGCGAAGGCGACUUUCUGGCCAUAAUCUGACGCUGAGGUACGAAAGCGUGGGUAGCAAACAGG
rnacentral:rRNA from 2 species